CCAUUCUGGGAUAUCUCCUAAUGAUCAGAGUUGUCAAGUCAUUGUUUGAGGAACUUGUUGAAAGAAAAAAUGCUCCACUUAAGUACAUAAUUACUUACACGUUUACCCAAGAUUACCUUCAGUUAUUUGUCUGUGCUAUAAGUGCACUAAAUGGAAGAAAUAACAACCCAACAUUCAACCAAUUUAAGGCUGCAUAUAGAAGACUACUCAAUCU